CUUGGAUCUGAUCCCUGGCCCAGGUCACCCAGCUAGAAAUUAACUAACCUGGGCUUUGAACAAAUGCUGCAUUGUCUAUGAAACCAAACAAAUGGGAGCUGAAAACACGCCCAUUGUUUUGUUUCUUCCACAAUCUUUGAAACUUCUUUAGCAUUUCUCCAAGAUCUCCUGGGCCUCACCCAAGAGGGAGACUGUCACUUGACUAUCUGAUGAAGGGGAUGGAAGUGGCAAUUCAUCUUUUGUGUUUGCCAGGGAAGGUAUUGAACAAG
ensembl:lncRNA